rnacentral:rRNA from 1 species
UACGAAGGGGGCUAGCGUUGCUCGGAAUUACUGGGCGUAAAGGGCGCGUAGGCGGACAGUUUAGUCAGAGGUGAAAGCCCAGGGCUCAACCUUGGAACUGCCUUUGAUACUGACUGUCUUGAGUUCGGGAGAGGUGAGUGGAAUGCCGAGUGUAGAGGUGAAAUUCGUAGAUAUUCGGCGGAACACCAGUGGCGAAGGCGACUCACUGGCCCGAUACUGACGCUGAGGCGCGAAAGCGUGGGUAGCAAACAGG